GGGCACUUUCUAAUGCAAGCUGCAUGCUGAAGCCUUAUGCAGCACAGUGGCAUUGGCAAGUGUGCGCAAUCUCUCUGCAAGAGCCCCCUCGCCCAUGUCUUCUAUGAAGGUCUGGUUUCACCCCGCUGUUUUUCCCCGUCAGCACGCUGCUGUGAAGUGAGAUGCUAUGAGGCGCUCUCUGUUUCCCAGAAUGUGUCCCAGAGCUGGAGACAGUUCCAUUUCUGAGAUGCUGCAUUUCUCACCUGCUGAUUGCAAUUAGCCACUGCCAGCUGGGGCCUGGUGAGCUGCUACAAUGCUAACAAGAAGUGGAGACCAGCAUGAGGCCUCGGCAAUGGAGAUGGUCAGUCAGCAAGUGCACCAGAGACGCACCAAGUGAGUUCUGGAGGGAGCCACCCACACCCCCUACCCCAGUGCUGAG